CCCUAAUCGCUCUUUCCCCUUCUUCUCUUUGCGCGACGCCGUUCCUCUCCUCGGGCGAAACCGCAGCAAGCAGUCUGGCGUCUCCGGCGACUGGCGAGCACCCCUCUCCGUGAAGUCUUCACACCAUCGAGCCCCUCUCGUCGAGAAGAGCAAGUGGGCGCAAGGAGAGGUCCAGAACUUGAGUUUUCUUCGAACCCUAGCAGCUCCUCUUCCCGAUUUUUGAGUCCAAGGAUAGGUAUGAGAUAGGAACAGCCUCAUUUGAAGCUUAGAACAACCUAGUCCUCUUGUGCUUUACGAUGACCAAGAACAACCCCCCUUGGAGCUUGUUGCAGUCCGGAUUUAAUGGUUUCAAUUUAUGUUGCUGAUUUUGUGAAUUUCAUGCUGUUAACUUUGUAGUAUUAGUAUUUUAUCUCACUGCCAUGUAUAAGAAUGGGUUUUUAAUGAAUAAUGCAGUAAGGUAGUUUGUGCUUA